rnacentral:miRNA from 1 species
UUUCUUCUAGGGAUGCUAUUGUCUGGUGAAAGUCUUAAAAUCUGAUCAUUGGGCUGGAGAGAUGGCUCAGCCGUUAAAGGCUAGGCUCACAACCAAAAAUAUA